AUUUGCAGUGUGAGAAUUUCCCUCACAUUUAUCCAAUACCAAGCCAAAUCACUGGAAAAAUUUUGGAUGGGUCCACAAGAGCACAAAGUGCAUACUUUUUGAAGAAAAACAUCUUUCAGAUGUAUGAGAAAUUGAUUGGAGCCUGUCUGGAAAACGGCAGCCACUGGACCUUGUUUUUUUGUGACAUACCCAAGAGGACCAUAGUCUAUAUGAAUUCAUUUGGCGAGUCGGAGGUCAGAAAAAGUGCGGUGUUGAAAAACUGGAGCUCAUUUGCUUCAGCAAGAGGCUGCGCUGGAGAGUGGACCUUGUCACAUGUGAGCCACCCACAUCAACAGGAUGGGAACUCAUGUGGAGUGCAUGUCGUCAUGGUACUGAAAACUAUAGCUUUAACCUAUAUAAGUAAUGUUUACAUUUUUGCCUAUUCAGUUUUUAAAGCCUUAGAGGCAGGAUGGUAAAAUCUCAAUUUUUUUUGUAGAUUGAACCAUUUCAGCAG